rnacentral:snRNA from 1 species
GGAUAUGAAGAUGAUCUGGCUGUGACAUUUGCCACCCAGUGACUGCCAGGGUUGAUUCCGCUGAUCUGGCUGGCAGGUGGGUGUCCCCUUCCUCCCUCAUUGCUCCAUGUGAUUCUCUCCUAAAGCUGCCCACUCAGAAUAGAGAUGAACAGGUCUUUGGUUUGUAUACGAGUACCUGUGCUCCCUGGCUAGAACCUCCAAACAAGCUCUCAAGGGAAAGAAGAAAACAGGGGCCAGGUGGUGGCACACCUGGUUGAGCGCACAUCUUUCAAUGUGUAAGGA